rnacentral:rRNA from 1 species
GUGGGGAAUAUUGGGCAAUGGGCGAAAGCCUGACCCAGCGACGCCGCGUGAGGGAAGAAGGUCUUCGGAUUGUAAACCUCUUUCAGCAGGGAAGAAGUAAGUGACGGUACCUGCAGAAGAAGCCACGGCUAACUACGUGCCAGCAGCCGCGGUAAUACGUAGGUGGCAAGCGUUAUCCGGAAUUAUUGGGUGUAAAGGGUGUGUAGGCGGGACUUUAAGUCAGGCGUGAAAAUCAAAGGCUCAACCUUUGACCUGCGUUUGAAACUGGAGUUCUUGAGAGUGGGAGAGGUAAACGGAAUUCCUGGUGUAGCGGUGAAAUGCGUAGAUAUCAGGAGGAACACCGGUGGCGAAGGCGGUUUACUGGACCACAACUGACGCUGAGACACGAAAGCGUGGGGAGCAAACAGG